rnacentral:tRNA from 1 species
GCGCUGGUGGUGUAAGGUGAAGGCAUCGCUGCCCGGAAAGCAGAAGGUGCGGGUUCGAAUCCCGCAUGGCGCA